rnacentral:ncRNA from 2 species
UUGGGUCACCGCAUCGCUGGUUCCUGCCUUACGGCAGGCGAAGAGGGAAUGCGACAGCCUGCCGUCCAUCCAAGGGACACGGGUCAAGCGCAGCCGCCCCCGCGACCGUGACCGGAGAGGUCGCCCACCGCCACUGGGAAACCGGGAAGGCAGGGCGCCCGCCGGGGUGCUGCCAGGCCCCCGACAUCCGCAAGCCGGGAGACCUGCCAGCGUCGGCCCUCGAAG